CCACUGAUAGAUCUGCUCUACGUUACACUGUAUAUCAGCUUAGAUAUACUAAUAAGCACAUUAGUAUCUUCUGAUUUUAAAUCUGUUUUUUCUUUUCCCAUUUUAGUGAUGAAAUCAGUGCUCUCUCAGAACCUUUAAACACAGAGCUCUAAUAAGGAAAGCCAAGCAAUAAAAUAUUCAGUAGAACUUUAUCUUGGAAGAAAUGAUUAAAAUGGAAUGUUGGCCAAUGCCCACCCUUUUUUAAUAAUUUCUCUUAUUCUAAGCACCAUUUUUACACAUUUGAGGUUAAUAAGCUCCACAUUAUAACUGGCAAGUAGGGUGCUUUAACUUUGGCAGAAUAAUGUUUUUUGUUUUUUUUUUUUGCCUGAGAAAUUUUCUGAGAGAUAAAUGAUAUUACCAGGUGGGAAGGUGAGAGCAAAACAAGACCCAAAAUGCAAAAAAAGAUAGCUGCUUUCAGAGCUGAAAAAGAAAGCACACAUCCCUUUCCUGAAGCUGACUCAUUUUCCUGUUCUCUCCCAGAAACAGGAAGACUUUUUCAAGACUUUACUACUUUGUAGUUCUGGAAAUCACUUGGAUCUGUGCAAUUUUCCUCCAGGCUCUUAUCCACAUUAUAUAUAUUUUAUAAAUAGACAACAGGAUGGAGAAUAAAUGAUCACACUGGGAAGGAAGAGCAACACUCAUUAUAUUCCAGAAAGUCAUUAUUAUUGUGACAGAGGCAAAUUUCAGGUAUGAGGACUACAUUCUGUGUUGGAGUAUUUCACUGUAACACUACGUGCUUCUGCCCUAGAAAAACCAAAGACGAGUACUGAAGUGCUCAUAAAAUACUUGUUAUUUCCAAGCCUCUUAUUUUGUAAACUGAAAGAAAAAAACAAAGUGGCCAUUAAUAGAUUUGUUCCUACUGCAAAUGUCUGGUAUCAGAAGGUGGUUCGUAAGUGAAGGCACAGUUAAAUUGUGGUUGUUUUGUUUUUUGAAGUCAGUAACGUGGUAUUUCUAUGGCUGUGAUCUGUUAAUAACAUAUGUUUAUCAAAUUCUGAAAAUAUGUCAGACUUCUCUUUAGAAUGCAAAACAAAAAUGAAAGUCAAAGUUUACAUGUCUCAGCAGACCUCAGAUGUGAAAUUAAGCCAGAUAAGCAUAUUAGGAAGGAUGAAAACUAUUUUACAUCAACCAAAACAUAGCUGUGCAUGAGGAAAGUGCAGAUAGUAAUGAACUGGAGGAAGUAGCCUUUGUAUUUCUGGACUUUGUCAGCAGCCUUGCUCUUACUGCCAGAAAUCAGCUUUUCAGCUUUAAUGAAGAGUAGAUAUUGUUCCAAGUGGUUACUGGUCUCCAGUGAUCCAUACUUCAGGUUUGAAAGUAUACUGUAGCUGAACAUGAAGCAAACAAGAUCAGGAAACGAACAGAUUCAUUCUAGUGUUUGUAUAGAUAAAAGUCUGUGCAGUUUUGCAGAAGAAGAAGAAUGUAGACAAUGGCUUAAUUCACCUUAAUUCUUGAUACAUGGGAACACACUAGACCUCUGGAAACACUAGCAACUAACUGUAGCCAGAUGGUUAAAUUUUCCUGCACUAAUACAAAAUACUGAUGUGAACUUGUCUGAUGCAAAUUAAUACAAUGAAUGUAUGCCUUGUGAUGUCUGUGAUGGUGUGCUACCCGCCCCCUUUUCUACCUUUCCAUUGCUUUACUCAGGAUGAACAGUGCACCAAAGACCUUGCUCAGGAACAUAGUGACUGUGGUAUUGGUUCACCUCAGGCCUUGCUCAGGCAGAUAGUGACCACAGUACUGGCUCAGCCUGGUUGCUGGAGGAACUGAUGGACAGACAUCUUGUUCAACAGCUGAGGGAAAAUUGAGUAUGUGCCAGAAAACAUGACUAUGGGUCGACCAUCUUACCCUGAGUGAUGUGUGUAAUGCCAUCAGCCACAACGUCAUAGUCUUUCACAGGACAAAAGAAGACUAAAAAUGGAAAGAAAGAGAAGGGACAAGCCAGCCUAUCUAGAAAAUAUAGCCGCCAAGGAAAGCUGUGCCAGGGAAGAGGAACACACUGGUACCAAAGUCCAGUUCACAAUGGGUUCAUUCCUUCUGCCAUUUACACAAAGCCACAGCUGAUCAGACUGAAACAUUCCUCUUGCUGGCUCCUAUUCUUCCUUCAUUUUAUUAAUAACCUGGCAACAGGAUAGGGGCUAAGAAAAGAGACCUUCUAGAAUGGAGAAUUUACUGAAGAAACCAGAAGUGAAAGGUAGGUAUGGGAGUUUGAAGUCACAUUUAUUAGGUGACAUAGUUCCUUUAGAGAACGAGAAAAGGACUUUAGGCAUGAGCACAACCCAUCAGGAAAAUCCAUGGUGACCUGGGCAAAUUCAUGCAGCACGGAUGUUGUAGAACAGUUUUAUGGAAGUGUGACAUCUUAAAGUCAAAAUAUAUUUUUCUCUGAUUAUUUUUUGUAUUGAUGUGGGUUCUGUUUUGUUUUGCUUUUGUUUGUUUGACAUUGUUGCUGAUUUUUAAGUACCUGUCCUACAUGAUGAGAUCUUGCAGCUCAAUUAAAAAGGAAAUAAUUAUUUAAAGCAUUCUGUGGAAUGUGGAACAGGCCCUGGAAGCUCUAAUAGGCCUUCAUGGCCUUGAUCAGUCCCACCUUAGGACACUCCUAAACAGGGGACCAGAGCACAUUUAAGUACAGUUCUGCACCUUUAGUCUCUGCCAGAGCUCUGCUGUAGUAUGUAUUUGCUCUGCUUUCUCUCUAGUUCAUGUGCACUGGUUGUGGUCACUAAAGAAGAAUGUGUUGCUAUUGUUAUACAUUCUAAUAUCAUUACUGAAAGAUGUUUCAUUGACAUAAGUCCUUCUUACUUAAAGAACUUUUAGUACAGUUAAAUAAAAUACACAAGACAUGUAGGAUGAUUCAAAACAACAGAAUGGAUAAGAUAGCACAAAGUGUUCUGUUUCCCUUUGAAUUAUAGAAAUGCAAGUUGGAGAAGGGAAAAUUACUAAAACUUAAUUAUCAGGACAACAAAAUUUGCAGCUAAAUUUAACUGGUAGUUCUUUUAAAUACGAGUCUUGUCCAUGGGAAACCUGCAGACAUCUAG
ensembl:lncRNA